rnacentral:piRNA from 1 species
UUCCUGCAUGAGUGUGAACUCAGCCUU